rnacentral:rRNA from 1 species
GCGCUACCAUGCAAGUCGAGCGGAACGAUGGUAGCUUGCUACCAGGCGUCGAGCGGCGGACGGGUGAGUAAUACUUAGGAAUCUACCUAGUAGUGGGGGAUAGCACGGGGAAACUCGUAUUAAUACCGCAUACGACCUACGGGAGAAAGGGGGCAGUUUACUGCUCUCGCUAUUAGAUGAGCCUAAGUCGGAUUAGCUAGAUGGUGGGGUAAAGGCCUACCAUGGCGACGAUCUGUAGCUGGUCUGAGAGGAUGAUCAGCCACACCGGGACUGAGACACGGCCCGGACUCCUACGGGAGGCAGCAGUGGGGAAUAUUGGACAAUGGGGGAAACCCUGAUCCAGCCAUGCCGCGUGUGUGAAGAAGGCCUUUUGGUUGUAAAGCACUUUAAGCAGUGAAGAAGACUCCGUGGUUAAUACCCACGGACGAUGACAUUAGCUGCAGAAUAAGCACCGGCUAACUCUGUGCCAGCAGCCGCGGUAAUACAGAGGGUGCAAGCGUUAAUCGGAAUUACUGGGCGUAAAGCGAGCGUAGGUGGCUUGAUAAGUCAGAUGUGAAAUCCCCGGGCUUAACCUGGGAACUGCAUCUGAAACUGUUAGGCUAGAGUAGGUGAGAGGGAAGUAGAAUUUCAGGUGUAGCGGUGAAAUGCGUAGAGAUCUGAAGGAAUACCGAUGGCGAAGGCAGCUUCCUGGCAUCAUACUGACACUGAGGCUCGAAAGCGUGGGUAGCAAACAGGAUUAGAUACCCUGGUAGUCCACGCCGUAAACGAUGUCUACUAGUCGUUGGGUCCCUUGAGGACUUAGUGACGCAGCUAACGCAAUAAGUAGACCGCCUGGGGAGUACGGCCGCAAGGUUAAAACUCAAAUGAAUUGACGGGGGCCCGCACAAGCGGUGGAGCAUGUGGUUUAAUUCGAUGCAACGCGAAGAACCUUACCUGGUCUGACAUAUCUAGAUCCUGCAGAGAUGCAGGAGUGGCGUCGGAUUAGAAUACAGAUGCUGCAUGGCUGUCGUCAGCUCGUGAUCCUGCGAUGCUAGGUUAAGGUACGUCAACGAGACGUACCAUGGUCCUACGUUACAGCGGAUAAGCCGACUCUACGGAAUCUGCAGUACACUCGAGCAGCCGGACGAUCGGUC